rnacentral:rRNA from 1 species
GAUGAACGCUGGCGGCGUGCCUAACACAUGCAAGUCGAACGAAGCACCUUACCUGAUUCUUCGGAUGAAAGUGUGGUGACUGAGUGGCGGACGGGUGAGUAACGCGUGGGUAACCUGCCCUGUACAGGGGGAUAACAGCUGGAAACGGCUGCUAAUACCGCAUAAGCGCACGAGGAGACAUCUCCUUGUGUGAAAAACUCCGGUGGUACAGGAUGGGCCCGCGUCUGAUUAGCUGGUUGGCAGUGUAACGGCAUACCAAGGCAACGAUCAGUAGCCGGUCUGAGAGGAUGAACGGCCACAUUGGAGCUGAGACACAGUCCACACUCCUACGGGAGGCAGCAGUGGGGAAUAUUGCACAAUGGGGGAAACCCUGAUGCAGCAACGCCGGGUGAGUGAAGAAGUAUUUCGGUAUGUAAAGCUCUAUCAGCAGGGGAGAUAAUGACGGUACCUGACUAAGAAGCACCGGCUAACUACGUG